GGAUGUGAGGGUGAUCUGGCUGUGACAUCUGUCACCCCAUUGAUCACCAGGGUUGAUUCUGCUGAUCUGGCUGGCUAGGCGGGUGUCCCCUUCCUCCCUCACCACUCCGUGUGCAUCCCUCCUAAAGCUGCAAACUCAAAUAAAAGAGUACAGCCUUCUCCAAAUAGAGACGGCCCAGUCUUCAGUCAGGGGUAUACAAGUAGCUGCGCUCUCACUAGAACCUCCAAACAAGCUCUCAAGAAUCCCAGAACUGGGUCAGUGAAAUAGUUCACUUGCACAAAGAACUGCUUUGCCAUGUGUGAACUCGGGUU
rnacentral:snRNA from 1 species